rnacentral:lncRNA from 13 species
AGUAUUCUCUCCUUUAUUUCAACCCUGUUGAAUCUGACGAUUAUGUGCCUUGGGGUUGCUCUUCUUGUGGAAUAUCUUUGUGGUGUUCUCUGUAUUUCCUGCAAUUGAGUGUUGGCUUGUCUUGCUAGGUGGGGGAAAUUUUCCUGGAUGAUGUCCUGAAGAGUAUUUUCCAGCUGGGAUUCAUUCUCUUCGUCCCCUUUUGGUACACGUAUCAAACGUAUGUUAGGUCUUUUCACAUAGUCCCACAUUUCUUGGAGACUUUGUUCAUUCCUUUUUGCGCCUUUUUCUCUGAUCUUGGUUUCUCGUUUUAUUUCAUUGAGUUGGUCUUCGACUUCAGAUAUUCUUUCUUCUGCUUGGUCAAUUUGGGUAUUGAAACUUGUGUUUGCUUCGCGAUGUUCUCGUAUUGUGUUUUUCAGCUCCUUUAAUUCAUUCAUAUUCCUCUCUAAGUUAUCCAUUCUUGUUAUCAUUUCCUUCGACUUCAGAUAUUCUUUCUUCUGCUUGGUCAAUUCGGCUAUUGAAACUUGUGUUUGCUUCGCGAAGUUCUCGUAUUGUGUUUUUCAGCUUUUUUAAUUCAUUCAUAUUCCUCUCUAAGGUAUCCAUUCUUGUUAUCAUUUCCUCGAAUCUUUUUUCAAAUCUUUUUUCAAGGUUCUUAGUUUCUUUGCAUUGAUUUAAUACAUGAUCUUUUAGCUCACCAAAGUUUCUCAGUAUCCAUCUUCUGAAGUCUAAUUCCGUCAUUUCGUCACAGUCAUUCUCUGUCCAUCUUUGCUCUCUUGCUGGUGAGGAGUUUUGGUCCUUUCUAGGAGGCGAGGUGUUCUGGUUUUGGGUGUUUUCCUUAUUUUUGCGCUGGUUUCUUCCCAUCUUUGUGGAUUUGUCCGCUGGUCGUCUGCAUAGUUGCUGACUUUUCGUUUGGGUCUCUGAGUGGACACCCAGAAUGUUGAUGAUGAAGUAUUUCUGUUGCUUGGUUUUCCUUCUACCAGUCUAGCCCCUUCGCUGUAUGACUGCUGAGGUCUUCUCCAGACCCUGCUUGUCUGGGGUGCACCUCUAGUAGCUGUGGCACAGAGAGGGAUGCUACCAGUUUCUUUUUCUGCUCUCUUUGUCCCAGGAUGAUGCCUGCCUAAUGUCAGUCUUUUGGAUAUAGAGGGGUCAGGGAGCUGCUUGAGGAGACAGUUUGUACUUUAUAGGGGUUUAAUUGCUGAGCAGUGCACUCU